UACAGAGGGGGCAAGCGUUGUUCGGAAUUACUGGGCGUAAAGGGCGCGUAGGCGGCCCGCUAAGUCGAACGUGAAAUCCCCGAGCUCAACUCGGGAACUGCGUCCGAUACUGGCGGGCUUGAAUCCGGGAGAGGGAUGCGGAAUUCCAGGUGUAGCGGUGAAAUGCGUAGAUAUCUGGAGGAACACCGGUGGCGAAGGCGGCAUCCUGGACCGGCAUUGACGCUGAGGCGCGAAAGCGUGGGUAGCAAACAGG
rnacentral:rRNA from 1 species